UAGUGAACAAGACAUGGUAUUUAAUCUAAUUUAAUUUAAUUUCAAUUCCUUUUCUCCCAUGUAGACGAGUGCUGGUGGCAGACUGAGGGAGAAGGAAUAACCCCAGCACUGUGGAACACAGGGGUCUGCCAGUGCUGGCGAAGCCUUUUUUGAGAAGCACACAGAAAAUCUGCCAUCCCAACCCCAAAUCUCCUUCCCACUGGCCACCAGCCUGAGCAGGAGCUGUGUCCAGGUGCUCCAUCCCAGCUCUGACUCCUGAUGGAUAUUUCCCUAUUCCUGAUCUCCUUUUU
rnacentral:lncRNA from 1 species